rnacentral:rRNA from 1 species
GACGUAGGGGGCCAGCGUUGCUCGGAAUUACUGGGCGUAAAGCGUGCGCAGGCGGUUUUGUAAGUCUGUCGUGAAAUCCCCGGGCUCAACCUGGGAAUUGCGAUGGAGACUGCAAGGCUAGAAUCUGGCAGAGGGGGGUAGAAUUCCACGUGUAGCAGUGAAAUGCGUAGAGAUGUGGAGGAACACCGAUGGCGAAGGCAGCCCCCUGGGUUAACACUGACGCUCAUGCACGAAAGCGUGGGGAGCAAACAGG